AUACUUACCUGGUGUAGGGGUUUAACCGUGAUCAAUAAGGCGGUUCCCCCAGGGUGAGGCCCCUCCAUUGCACAAGGGUCGGGCUGACCCUUGCGAGUAUCUCUAAUGUGGAUACCUCGGACACGAAAUUUUUGGUAGUCGGGACUGCGUACGCGCUGUCCCGAA
rnacentral:snRNA from 1 species